UACGUAGGGGGCAAGCGUUGUCCGGAAUUAUUGGGCGUAAAGAGCGUGUAGGCGGUCCGGUAAGUCAGCUGUGAAAGUCCAGGGCUCAACCCUGGGAUGCCGGUGGAUACUGUCGGGCUCGAGUCCGGAAGAGGAGUGUGGAAUACCCAGUGUAGAGGUGAAAUUCGUAGAUAUUGGGUGGAACACCGGUGGCGAAAGCGGCUCUCUGGUCCGGACCUGACGCUGAGGCGCGAAAGCGUGGGGAGCAAACAGG
rnacentral:rRNA from 1 species